rnacentral:tRNA from 1 species
GCCGAAGUGGCGGAAUUGGCAGACGCGCUAGGUUCAGGUCCUAGUGGGCUUAACGGCCCGUGCAGGUUCAACUCCUGUCUUCGGCA